AAAUUUUGAUGUAAAUUUUUAAUAUUUAAUAUUUAAUUUGAAUUUAAAUUAAUAUAUUAUAAAGAUAAUGUUAGUAUAUUAAUUUGAUUAUAUUUUUUAUAUCCACCUGAACCAAACACCGACAAUGGGAAUGAUUUAUUCCGAUUCCGAUUUUGGUGAUCAACCAAACAGAAUUAAGUAAUGAGUCAUUCCGAUUCCGAUUCCAGCUUAUUUUGAUUCCGAUUCCGAUUCCGACUCCAACUUCGAACCAAACAAGCUCUUAAUCUCUUCAUUUUAUGAGAUUUCUUGUGCAAACAAAAAUAGCGGUGCUUGUUGGAUGACGUGGUGGACCUGGUCCACACAUUUAUUUCUCGCCUAAAAGACCAUAGCUUUUUUAAAUGGGAAAACUACGAAUACCACCCCUGUCAUUUCAUAUUUUUUUCACUUUAGUAUUCUAUGAUUUAAAAUGUAUCAAUUUAAUACUUUGUAGUUUCGCACUUUCUUACUUUAGUAUCCUGUGAUUUAAUGUGCAUCAAUUUAGUACUCUGUGAUUUCUGUUUUCUCUUUUCGUCGGCUCCUCUGUUAAUAUUUCGUUAAAUUAUAUACAAAAAACUUCAGUUACCCUAUCUAGGUUUAUCGAAUAUUUACUUUAGAACGCUUUAGUUUUAACUUUGUCACUAUUUUUUUUUCUUUCGUUAAUAUUUCGUUAAAUUAUAUACAAAAAGCUUCAGAUAUCCUAUCUAGGUUUAUCGAAUAUUCAUUUUAGUAGUCUUUAAUUUUUAACUUUGUCACUGAUUUAACGAAAAAAAAUUAGUGAAAUGGAUAAUAAAAAGAGAAAAAUAAAACCACAGUGUAAUAACUUGAUACACUUUAAACCACAGGAUAAUAGAGUGAGAAAGUACGAAAUCAUAGGGGCUAACUUGAUACAUUUUAAAUCAUAGAAUAUUAAAGUGAGAAAGUGUGUAACCACGGGGGUAUUUGAAGUUUGUCCUUUUUAAAUUAACUAAUUAAUUUUGAAUAACUAACUAAUUUAUUUAUUUUUUCCCUUCUCUUGCAUUAUCUUUGCGCCAAGAUUCGUGCAAACUAUAAAAUUAAAAUUGAAAAACUAUUUCUCACCCCCGCGACUUCGAAAAUCGCACGUCUCCUCCAUCCUUUUUUCUCCUUCCCACGCUUUUAGGGAGAAAAAGAAAAAAAAGAAAAAAAAAGAAAAGAAAAAUUAGGGUUUCUCUCCUCUCCCUUUUCCUUCUCCCAUCCGACGAAUCUCCCGGGAAAGGUAGGUAAUUGUCUCCGAUUCGGAUUCGCCUCGAUCUGAUGCGAUUCGUUCUUCUUGUUUUAAGAUUCGAUUUGAUUUUGUUGAUGCGGGGCGCUUUUGGAUCUGAUUUUGAGGAGCCGGAUCGCGUGAUCUAUCCCACAUUGUUCGUUGCAUCGAUGCCCUGUGUUAGGAUCAGUGAUUUGUGUCGUAUUAAGGUUGAAUUUGAAGGGUUUGGUGAAAGAUCUGAUGAGAUCUGCGCUGUUUAGGGGGUUUUCGAGCUAUAACUAUUAAUGUUUGGUUUAAUAUUUCGUAAUUUAUUUUAGUUGUCUUUAAUGUGUUUUUUGAUUGCUGAGCAUUGAUGAUGAUGCUUUGUACACUGCGAAUUAUAUGGAGUAGAUGCAGUAAUCUUUAAUGGCAAUGCACUAGAAUAGCAAAAGGAGAAUCUUUUUUAUUAAUUAGAAAAGUGGUUUUUUAUCCGAUCUGUGCUCCCGCUCCUUUUGUUUCUCUGGAGCUUUGCACUGAUCCAAAUUUGGUCCAGUGUAGAAAUGUGAUGGCUAAAAGCACCUACUUUGAUACUUUAGAGGGACUGAAGAAUCCCGAAGCACUUUCGACAUUCCCUUUUUUGAUGCUAUAAAAUGAUGGCGCGAACCGCCAGCUAGAGAUGUCAACGGGUCGGAUUCGGGGCGGGUUUUUAAAAACCCGAACCCGAACCCGACUCCAAACCCGAGACCCGAACCCGAAUCCGAACCCGACGGAUUUUAAAAAUCCAUACCCAAACCCGAACCCGACCAAAAAUCCGAAACCCGAACCCGAACCCGAACCCGAAAAUUUGAACCCGAAACAAUUAUUUCUUUUUUCAAUAUUUCAAAAUAUAUUAUAUUAAAUUUAAAUUUUUAAAAUACAAAUUUAAAUAUAACAUCAAAUUUAUAUAUAUAUAUUAUAUAUAAUACAAAAUAAAUUCGGGUUCGGGUCGGGUUCGGGUUCGGGUCGGAUACAAUCAAAAUCCAUAUCCGAAUCCAUAUCCGUCGGGUUUCUAUUUUUGAUAUCCAUAUCCGAAUCCAUAUCCAUAUCCAUCAGAUAUAUCCGUUUCAUUCGGGUUCGGGUUCGGAUAAAAUUUCGGGUAUCCAUACCCAUUGACAUCCCUACCGCCAGCGGAGAAGCAUCAGCUGCUUAUAUGGAGUAGAUGCAGUAAUCUUUAAUGGCAAAUGUACUAGAAUAGCAAAAGGAGAACCUUUUUUAUUGAUUAGAAAAGCCGUCUUUUCCGAUCUGUGCUCCCCCUCCAUUUGUUUCUCUGGAGCUUUGCACUGAUCCAAAUUUGGUCCGGUGUAGAAAUGAGGUGGUCAAAAGCACCUACUUUGAUACUUAGAGGGACUGAAUUUCAACAUUUCCUUUUUUGAUGCUAUAGAAUGAUGGUGCGAACCACCAGCAGAGAAGCAUUAGCUGCUUUCAAUUUUCUGGGCCCUUUAAGUAUCAAAGUAUGUAUGUUCGGCUUACCGCAUUUACCAUACCAGGCCUUAUUUUUAUUUUGGCCUUCAUUGGAUAUGUAGCGACAAUCCCAAACAAAAGUUUUGCUUCUAUUCUUCUUUUUUGUAAUUUUUACAUGAGAAGGAUAGCAGCCUCUAUUGAUAAUUGGCUUCAAGCCUUACCGACUAGCCAAAUGGGAUAAGCACCGGCUACCACUUUGGAGUUCGGAGUAACCUAAGUCUACCCUGCGGCAAAUGCAUAUUGAUCUUUCUUGAAGGAAAUCACAUUGAUUUGUGAAAAAGACCUGUUGCUAUUUCAAAACCACACAUCGUUUUGCAACUAAACUUGUCUUGAUGUUGGUUCAUUGAUAAACAUUGGACAUGGAUAUCUCUGUGUGGGCCAUAAUAAGCUAUUAUAUCAGCCUAAAGUAUCUUGUGGCCACAAGUGUGAGAUCGACAAGUCCUUUGAGAAAUAUGCUUAGAUGGAUAUCUAAAGAUUUAGGUUCCCUCUGUUUUGUGCAUUGAAUGAUUGACUCUGUUUAACAAUCUUUUGUAAUGGUAAUUGUGGCGAACAUGAUAUGAGCAUCCAAAACUCAUUCAAGCCGAUUUGGGUAUUUAGGAAUCACUGCAAUUUUUUUUAGCCAACUAUUUUAUCUUGUAUAUAGUCAUAUGCAUCCUUUUGUAUUGGCUUACUCUAUUUCAUGCAUGGAGAUACCAUUGUACUGUCUUCGUAGUAUGUUCUUUAGCUAUUCGCUCUCUAAUAUCAAUUUGAUUUUAUCUGAUUUUGAGAAGUAGAUCUAAUUAGGAAAGCUCCAAAUGUGAAAAACUGUUGGUUGAUACUUUCCUUGAAAUUUACAGGCUCUUUCAAUCUGUCAAGUUGAGCCGCAUGAAGUUUCUCCCUGAAGUUUUGUAGGUUACAUUGAUAAACAAGGAACUUACUGCUUGAAAUGUUUACUGCGACAAACUGUUAUACAGUCCAAAAGAUGCUUUUAUGAAGAGCAUAGGUUAAUCUAUUUACAGCAGUUUCUAAUCAUUUUUGAUCGAUGGGCGAGUGGGUCAUUGGAGCUUUGAUUAACAUAGUUGGGAGUAUCGCCAUAAACUUUGGGACUAACCUUCUAAAACUGGGCCAUGAUCAGGUACAUACUAUAUGGCUUUCUUUCUCUUUUCAUUUUAUGAGGUUUCAUGCUUUUCCUAUGUAUUUUACCUAGCAGAAAGUGCAAAGUGCAAAGUGCAAAGUGCAUACUAUUUUCUCUCUUGAUCUCCCUCACUCUCUUAUUUCCUUUUCUCCAAGUAGGUGUGACUCAAACACCAAUUUUAUUUUAUGCUGAAUAAAUGUAAAUUUCUUUUCAAUGAAAAAACUCUCUAAAACCAUUUUUAAGAGUUUUACAUGGAACCAAACACUACCUUUUCCAUCGAAUUAUUGAUUGCAUUUGUAAAGUGGGUGAAAAUUAAAAAAUGCAAAAUGUCAUUUAUAUGUUGAGUGGGUGAAAUUAAAACACGAGCAGGUUCAAAGAGGAUUUGACAUCUUAAUACAUCUUAUUGAGUUUGCAUAGGCUGGAAAAGUCCUACUUUAAGGUCUUGUAUUUGACAUUCUAUUGAAGUAUAAAAGGUUUAACUAAGCUAUAAAAUAAACCUGUUUGACCACAUUUCAAGUUUAUUGAAGGCGUUCCUAUGUGGACAAAUUCGAUCAUUACUGUAAGUUGUUCAAAGUUCAAAAUAGAUCAUUUUGCUUGUUAAGUUCCUAUUGGUUGGAAAGCCAACGUAGUCGCUUGCUAAUGUAUUUCUACUUACAUGGCUCAUCGGGUUCCAUGUUAAAUUCAUUUUAUGAAUUAAGCAAUAUAAAAGGUGAAUUUAAAUCAUAUUUAGUAUGUGUGUUUGAACAGAACUUUCAACUCAGUAAGCAAGAGAUGAUGUCAUCUCCUUUUUAUUAUUUUCAAUUCUAAACAUGAAGACGAUACUACCAGCCCUUUCUGCAUCCUCCAUCUUUUUUGUCCCAUUGAGGUUGAAGCCAUGUCAAACAUGCCUACGGAAUGUGCCCCCUUGAUCAUAGUUAUAUAAGUGUGAACAUGCAUGUUUUAUAUGUAUAUGUUGGUUUUAUAAACUUCCAUCUUGUCAUUGUUUUGAUUUGUUUGGAUCUUUUCUUCUUUUUUUUUUUUUGCCAGCGAGAGAGGCUUGCUGUGGUUGGUGGUGAAGGCAAUGGCAAAAUUAUUUUGAAACCAAUCAUGUAUUUCCAAACCUGGAGAGUGGGUAUAUUUCUUGUUAUCUAUUUUGGUUGUACAUAACCAUCUGAAUAAACUUGAAUUUUAAAUUUUAAAUUCUGAAACUUAAUGCAGGUAUCCUUUUUUUCGCUCUGGGAAACUGCCUCAACUUCAUUUCCUUUGCAUAUGCGGCACAGGUUGCCUAACAUAUUUCAGCCUCUUAUCUUAGUAUUGAAAGGAGAUGUGUAAAACUGGAAGUACAUUACUUUGUUUUUUUAACUAUUAUACAGCAAUCUAUUUAAAAUUGAAAUACAUUGCUUUGUUUUUUUAACUAUUAUACAGCAAUCUAUUUUUCCAUUUCAUUAAAUGGUCACAAAGUACAUUGCUUGUUUUUUUAACUAUUAGACAUCAAUCUGUUUUUCCAUGUCAUUCAGUGUUGUGACUAGAACCCGACUAGUAACUGCUGAAGCUACUAAACAGAAAUUAAGUUGCACAUAAUGAUAGCAGAGUCUGUGAUAUGCAGAGGUUCCGGUGUUCUAAAUUGCUUGGUGGCAGAGUUUGGGUUAUAGAGAGGUUUUGGUGCUCUAAGUUGCAUUAAUAUUGCAUUAAGUGUGCUGUUACCCUUAAGUACAUUUUAGUUGUCGCCUUAAAUACUUAGAACAUCUAAUAUAAUGUCUAAUAAAUUUUGGCAUCUAUUUAGCUAUAUCCCCUUGGAAGUAUAGUUUGAACUUUUGAAGGUUCAAACUCUUCCCUUCUUUUUUGAGGUCUAAAUAUCAGGUAAAUUGAGAUUCAAGCAAAUUCUACCCUGCUGGUCAUCGAACAAAUUUGUUCCUUCUAAUCAUCUAUUAAUAUCUUUCCAGCAUACCCAUCUAGAAUGUUGGUUGUUCUCUAAAAAUAGCUGUUCUGUUUGUUUUUUUUGCAGUCGCUUCUUGCAGCUCUGGGAUCAAUCCAGUUUGUUUCUAAUAUUGCAUUUGCUUACUUUGUACUAAGCAAAACGGUAUCAGUGAAGUAUGGUACUUCUUCACCAUUAUUGUUAUAAAUCUUCAUCGGGAACCUCUACAUUUAACAUUCUAUUAACGAAAAGUAUCACUGUUUUUGUAGGGUUAUGGUAGCCACAUGUUUUAUUGUUUUCGGCAACAUCUUCUUAGUUUGUUUUGGCAAUCACCAGUCACCCGGUAUUGACAUCGACCUUAUAUUUUCAUUCCGAUGCUUGUGAUAGCUAUAUUACUAGAUGGAGUCAAAGCAGAAAAUAACCUGCUAUUUUCUUAUAUAUUAUUGCCAAAAUUGUAUGGACAACCCUCUAACUUUAUAUUGCUUCCCAACACGUCCGAACUUUGGUUUGUUUUAUUUGAACUGGCACAGCUAAUAUGUUGUUUCUUUUGAGAAAAUUCCAUCGCGCUACGAGCACAUACCUGUUUCGCUCAGAAAAGUUGACAGCUCAUCAAGUAACAAAAUAUAACAGGGAUUGUUAAAUUCUGACAGAAUUUUUUAAGAUAAGAAAAUGCAGUAUUCAAGAAUCACUUUGAAUGGUACUGUGAGGAGUGUUUAUUUGUUUUGUAUAUAUUGUUUUGUUUAUUUUGACUGUUGUCGUACUGUUAACGUAAAGUAUUUACUGCUCUCUUCCACCCUAGAAUGAAAUUUAUAGACCAGAACUGAAAAAUUUGCGGAAUAGAGUAACUGACUUUCUGCAGUACCUUUUUAUCAGUUUACACACCUGAGCAGUUGAUCGCCAAGUACAGCAAUUUGAUCUUUCUUCUUUACUGUGUCUCGUUGGUGUUGGUAGUUGCUCUUAAUCACUAUAUCUAUAGGUAUGGAAAUUUCUUACUAAUCUUUGUUCUGUUAACUAGCCAUAACAACAGCUUAUUGUUAUGUUUUACCCUGGUUGGCUGUUUUAUGGCCCCACCUUUAAGAAUUUCUAUUUCUUUUGUUUAUAUUGUACAUACCAACUGUGAUGCUCUUCUUGAUAACCGCAUAUGAAAUUGACAGGAGAGGAGAAGAUAUUCUCUCAGCUUCUGUGCCUGAUUUUAGUGCCUAUUGGCGCACGUUGCUGCCCUUUUCCUAUGCUGUUGUUUCUGGUGCUGUUGGAUCUUGCUCGGUGUUGUUUGCAAAAUCAUUGUAAGUUAAUCGGUUCACUUUAUUUUGAUCGGCUACGAUGUAUCACUCUUUAAAUGAACUUUCUUUUUUGAGUGAAAUAAAAAGUUUUUCUAAUACAAAAUCAAUUACUCCCCAUAUUUGGAUUACUCGAAAACUUAAGGGUGUCUAUAUAAGAAACUACACUUUCAAGGGUAUAUAAAAAAUUGAGACUUUACAUUGUUACAUAGGUAAAUAGAAGACUUUGCAGGGAUAUAUACGUGAAACCCUCUAUAUCUAUUUCGGACAUGCAUUUACUAUGUUUUGCUUAACCUUCCAGGUCUAACAUGCUGAGACUAACAAUUGGCAGCAAUUAUCAGCUUCAUAGCUGGUUCACAUACUCGAUGCUUUUAUUAUUUUUGAGCACAGCAGGAUUUUGGGUAAUGGUGUGAUCAGCUUCAUGGAUAGUUGUUCAAUACUUUCUUACAUGCUACAUGUCUAAUUUAGUGUUUCUUACAUAUCAGAUGGCAAGAUUGAAUGAAGGGUUGUCUUUAUUUGAUGCAAUCCUAAUAGUACCAAUGUUUCAAAUUGCAUGGACCUUCUUCUCCAUUUGUACAGGAUUUGUAUAUUUUCAGGAAUAUCAAGUAAGUGUUUAUUUGAGAAAUUAUCUCUUGCACACAACGCACCACAUCGGGUGCAGCAUCCAUUGUCCCGUGAUCCGCUCUCCAUCCUAUUUCAUACAUUCUAUCUAACCAUUCCAGAAGAAGAUCAAUUAUUGAUCAAGAAAAGUCUGCAAUGCACUGGUAGGGGAUCAAAGUAUGAGAUUGGAUGGAGGGUGGUGCAUGGCAGACGUGGUGCAGAGGUUGCAGGAAAUACUUUCUUAUGUUUGUUAAUUUCUGGUGAAUAUAUGCUUCUCACAAUGUACUCUCUGUUGAGUUGAAAACAUUAAUUGAUUGGCAGGUAUUUAAUACACUUAGAAUAAUGAUGUUCGUUCUUGGAAUGGCAUUUGUUUUCAUUGGAAUUUCCUUGUUAGCUCCUGAUGAUAGUAGAGGUAUUCGAAGAAAAUUUUUGACUUUUGGUGAGAUUUGAGUUUUAGAAAAGAUAAUUGAGCUAAUAUUUGAAUGUUUCUCAGCAAAUGAUACAAAGGAUUCUUCCUCCACAAGUCAAGGCUUUGCAACUGAUGUGAACAGGUGCUUUGUACAUCUCUCUGGUUAUUCUUUAUUGCUAAACAUGGCAUCUCUCUUGUCAUUCUUUAUAGCUAGACAUGGCUGCGGUAUAUAUUUGCUGAAAGACUAAAUGAUAUACACAUACACAUGAUGAUUGACCUCAAAUGUUUGAAUGGAAAUGUAAGGAAAUGUCUUAAAUAAUUGGGUUUGAGUUGAAACAAGGAGAAUUCAAACAUUAUGGGGCUAUAGUUCUAAGCAUUGAAAAUGCGAUCUUUACGUUUGUGUAAAACUGGAUGAUUCAUGGAAGAAACAUCUGACAUAUCCCAUACUUCUUGCUCCUGCCAGCCGGCUGGUGAAACUUGACUAACGACUGGAGAUUUCAUGUUUUUACCGAAGUUUUCUAAUUUUAUAUGUAUUACAAGCUUUAAUCCCUAAUAAAUGGGAAAAAUAUGUGACAACUUAAAUAAAGUUGAUAAAUUUAGAAAAUUCUGGAGAUUCAGGAUAUCUGAUCCAAAGGGGAUAAGAGAAGAUUUUUACUUAAUAGAUAUACAUAUAUUUCACACAAUAUCCUUAAGUUACAAUACAUAAUACAGGGGAUAAGUAAAUAUCUCAAAGAAUUACAUGUUGGAUAAUUGUCAAAAAGUCAAAUCACCAAGUUUUAGCAUUUAGUAAUUAUAUUACCGUUAGAUUAUUCUGUUUGUUGUUUGUAUGCAAAUUUUGGUACUUCUAUGCUUCUCCUUAAUGAGAAAAAUGUCUGGUUAACAUGCCACCAACUCACAUGUGUCUUGAGUGUUGUGGAUUUCUUAAUAAUAACAGGCCUCUCUUACUUUAUUAUAUCUUUUUUUUUUUUAAAACUACACAGUAAUUAAUUGUAUAAUUAUAUAUCACAGGCUAACCAAGCUGCCAACAGAGGAGACUGAAGUAACUGAUAUGAAAUCCUUUAUGCAUGUAGUACUUGCAAAGUCUAAAUCACUAUUGUUGAAGGCGAAGGUACUUGGCCAGGAUGACAUGUUCUUUCUGUUUUUGUUGUUUUUAUGUUAUUUUCUUUUCAACAACUUGGUUUCCCUGCAGGCUACCUGCUCAAUGUCCAUUGGACUUGGAGAGGAGUCAAUUAGUGCUUCGUCGGUACUUGUUAUGCCUAUGGUUUCUUCGAGGACAACAGGCUUUAGAGGAACCAUUUUCGAUAGGGCUAAGUUCAUUCCUUUAAGAAGCUCUGGUUGGAGCAGUUCUUCAAUCAAUGAUGAGUAUGACGAUGAUGCUGACGCGGAAGUGAAUGAUACACGUUCUUUGCUUUGAUAGAGCUCCAAUGAUAGAAUAAAUUUAUUGUUUUUCAGCAAGAUUAUUCUUUAGUAUAAUCUCCUUGUACCAUGAGUGUAUAGAUUUAUACUUCAUAUUCACCUUGUCAUUUUAAGAUUCAAGAUGUAAGUUUCAAAGCUUUGUUGUAUAUAAAAUCAUUCGCUUCUGAAUACUUAUUUACUUACAUGACCUCCGUGUUCAGCUGUUUAUUACGCUUCCUGAUAUAUUAUGAAUGAAUAUUCCUGAGAAAUCAGAAGUAGUUUUUGCAGUGACAAUUCUUAGAUUGGUCAGAUCUGUGCUGAGCUACACCUGUACUUUUGGUGUGCUCCCCCGAAUAUGUAAGAGAUAAGAGUAUCAGCAUUGUUUUUUGAAUGCUUUGUCAUUGUAAAUUUUCGGAAGAAAAGAUUUUCUUCGAAGUGUCUAAAAUAUAUGGAACUUGGGGUUAGGUAUAUGUCUCCUUUGUAAGAUUCUGUUAUUAUUUUUAUGAAUUUUUUAGUGGCCACCUUUUAACUAAUUGCUAAAGAAUAACUUUUCUACUUUAUGCUCGAAAUUUAAAGAAUGAGGGCAGCUGGAGUAACUUUAUGCUUGUUCUUUUUACUGUCAUAUUCAAUAAUUAUUCUUCUUAUCUUGUUUGAUGCUUUCCAUCAGAACCUUUAAAGAGCAGCCUCUGUAGAAAGUAAAGAUGGCGAGACCGAGAGAAAACUUGUUUAGUAUAGCAGGAGAUACUUCAUGGGUGCUCUUGAUCUAACUUUGCAGGUUGUCAACUUGCCUCUAAAUGCAACCAAAGAAGAUCUUCUUGCCUUCUUUUCCUACUGUGGCACUGUUGUUAAAAUCCAGCUGCAGAGGUAACUGAUCUACUAAUUGUGUUUCCCUUUGCUUGCACUUUAUUAUAUUGUUUUGUCCAUAUUAUGUUGUCGAAUUGGUACUGUUACAUUUUAGGGAUGGAGAUCAGUCCCAGAAGGCUUUUGUGACCUUUCGGCAACCCUACGCCCUUCAGAUUGCUCUCCUCUUAAAUGUAAGAAACAAUUAAAGCUUACAGAUGAGAUAACAUAAUCUAUUUUUAUUUACUUUAAAAGCUCUUGUUAUGAUGAUGAAUGUAUUGAUGUAGGCCCUGGAUCGUAGAGCUGAUAAUUUGUGAAACACCGAUCUUGAGAACAGAUUUUGGAGUAGGUGAUCUUUGUUAUUAUGUGUGAGGAAUAAUCUACCUACUUUAUUUGCAGAGUGCCACUAUUGGAGAUCGUCGAGUUCGCAUAUUGCCCUUGGAGAAUAUGAGGGAUAUACCAAUAACAUCAUCUGAUUCGGAGAACAUGGACAGCCAGGCAUGUUUUCGAUUCUCUAUUGUAGACUUAAUAGGAUAUAUAAGGCGCGCUGAUGAAAUGCGUGUUACAAUUUGGUCAGCGGCAUAUCUACGUCAAUAGUGAUAUCAGUGCCCAUAGUGAUAUCAAUACCCAAGUAUUGUAAGCAUGUUUUUCUCCGUCUUCUAGCUGAUUUUUCUUUCCAGGUGUUAUCAUCGGUCUAGCAGCGGAGCAGAACACUGAAUGAUAAUGGCUAGGGAUUGCAAGAUAUUUGCAGUUUUAUGUUAAAAAAAUAUGCUGGAUCCCUUUAACAUUAGCACGCGAUUACAUAUUACUACUCGAACCUCAAAAAGUUAGACUUUGUAAUUGCUCUAAUCAACAACCAAGGUCUGAAUUUUGUUAAUUUUUCUUAUGAAUCUUAAAAAUUAUCCGACUAUUUUAAAAGGAGACAGAUAUUUGAGUCCUUUAGCUUUCAUGUGAUUGAAGAUUAAUAAGAAAAGUAACAGAAUUCAGGUGGAUAAUUGAAACAAUUAGAAAACUUGUACAGUCUAUUUUAUUUCUACCAUAUUUUUCCUUAACUUUGUAAUGCUUUGAUUUUUUAAAAAAAUAGAUAAGUAGAAGCUAAAGCACAUCCUGAACAGUUCCACAGCAAAAAAUACUGGACACUGCAGUCACACUUGUAUUAGUAAUUUGAGCUAUGGAAUUUUGCGUUGCAUGGUUAAAAACCCAUUUUGUCGAGUUACUAAAUAUAGUCCUCACUUGGUUCAAGUUAUUGCCCUACAGGAACCGAGAGGAUAUCAUUCUCCUGCUUCGCCAUUGACGGCGGCAGUGCAUGCAAAACCACCGAUAGUAGAAGAUAUACCAAACAAAGCAAAGGAGAGAGUAUCAGCAGUUGAGCGAAAGGUGCACGACUUAAGUUCCGCGAUAGUCAGCAGCGACUGCUUAUUGCAAGGCGCAGUUUGGCUCUCCGAGGUCUUGGAAAGGGCAUCAAAGAGUGUGGCUGAACUGCGCAAUGUAAGAGGUUUGGAUAUCAACUCCAGAAUGCGGAAUUAGGCGCAAAUAUGGUAUGCUUAAUCACCUACUCCAAUUUCGCUUUGAUAGAAUGAGUAUAAUAUCGACAUGGUAUCAUGUAGACGUUUGUUAGUCGAGUCGACUGGAUAAAUAUAUCAUGCCGGUUACGACGCAGUGUUUGGUUUGAGAAUUUCUAUCAUUUUUACUAGCAGGUUCGGAGAACUAAAAUAGAAACUACCAGAGGAUUAAGUAUUAUCCUUUGAAUGACGGCAUAGGAAAUUUCAAGUGUGCAAAACCAUACUGUUUUCUUUUAAAAUUUUCUAACAAAGGAACUCAUUGUUUUCUUGUAUAUAUAUCAGGGACUAGAGCAAGAAUACUCUUUUACUUCUGCAUCAUUCGAUAUUAUUUACCUAGCGAUCAAGUGGUCUCAAAUACACUUUAUAUUUGCCCAUUGAAAAUUGUUAAUUUUGAGACUAGUUGAAUACUAGAGUGAGUGAUGUCGAAAGAUCACAAUAUUUGGAAUUUGCAUAGUUCAAGCAUCAUAGAUCAUGCUUAACCAUGUUGAUUGUCGAUUUAGAUGUCACAUCAUCGAAUAUAAUACGAAAUAUCUUAUCUCAACUCAUAUAUUAAAUUAGAAGCUUUUUUAUUAUUUUUCUCAUACAUAUAAUUCUACUGAUAUUUUACCCUGAACCAGGAACUUACAUUAUAUUACAAAACCCAAAUGAAUUGAUACCAAAACCAAAACUUGCUGCAAACAAACCCAUCAUCAUGCUAAGAACACAUGACAAGAAAAGAAACCCAUAACAGGUAAACUUAAAGAACAAUAUCAAAUAAAAGAUCAAGCACAAUGGUAGCUAUCCAAAUUUGCAGUAAAAAAAACUCAGUUGAAAUGCCAUUACAUCUUAAGCACAUGCUAGCAAAGACUCUUGUGUUUUAAAGAGGACUUAUUAUUAUUAAUCAGCUUACAAGAAUAUCCCACUUUCUUAAUAAGGUCAAUUUUCCGAGUAAAAUUAAGUUCCGCGUUUCGGUAUUGUUGCUGUUUUCGUGUAAACACAUUCUGUGGGACGGAGUGCGCUCGAAGACGGUGGAGUUCCUGCAGUCAAUACUUCUACGAGGUUCUUUCGGGACAGUCUGUUGGUUAAAAAGGGCAACAAUACCAAACGAGGCCUAAAAAGGAUGUAAAGAAUGAUCAGAGAAUUCCACUACAUGGAGGGUAUUUGAACAUGAGACUGAAGCAUUUUACCGCCCCUUUCGACGAUCUCACCAUUCACUCUCUCCCUCAUUGCUUUCACCAUCUCCGCGACAUUCGACUCUUCUUCGCAAGCUUCGUCUUCCUCGGGCACCAAACAUUGUGCAAUAGCAUCUUUUGAAUCAGAUAACAUACGUUUCCAUAGCCCCUUCAUGUAGUUUUCGUCGUCCUGAACCGCUCUGUCACCGUAGUUCGAUUCUCUUCCUUCCUCCUCAAGUGAAUUUAACCUUGUUUCGGUUUCGUUAUCUCGUUCGAUGUGAAGUUUGAUCGAAUGCAAACCGCUACUUUGCGAUUCUCCGUCUUCGUCGUCUGCUUCGGGUUCUUCCGUUCUUUUAGCAGUUAAAAAGGCUUCGAGCUCGUUGCGCAGUCGAUCGACGACCGCGCUUUUCUCCUCGAAUUCCAACUUUGCUUCGUAGAUCUUCAUUUGGACUCUUUCCUCGCGCCACUCGUCGGCGAUCUGAAGCAUCUCUCUCUCAUCUUCCAGCUCCUCUUGGACCUUCACGAACUGCCUUUUCAGCUCCUCGACCGCCGCCUUCCGCUCUGCGUAUUCUCUCGACAGAUCGCUGCACAUCUUUUCUGCUACUUCUCUCGAUCUUCUCUCGUUUUCGAGCUCUUGACUCGUCUUCGUCAGCGAAUCCUUCAAUUUCGUGAACUCGAGUCCUAGUUCUUUGUUUAUCCUCUCGGUUCUUUUCCGUAGUAUCUUUUCCGAUUGGAGUUCCUUGAUAAUGGGCUGAAUGAGGCACCUAAUGCUCCUCUUCUCUUCGAGAUUCUUCCGACAGAUGGUUUCGCAGCAGUCAGAUCUCUUUUCUGCCAUUAAACAUACCAGAUGCUCGGAGGCAUGAUAAAUCUCUGCAUGAAGUGCGAAAACAAGCGAAAUUGCCGAGAAAUGCCGAUCGCAGGGCCCCAGUACAUGGAUUAUUGCUUUCAGAAGCUCUCUUGAUGCUGUCAAGCAGUUACUCAAAUCCUUCAAGCGACAAUCGCCGCUUCCUCCGACGAAGUUUUCAGAAGUCAGCCGUCGACAGCACGCAUUUUUCUGCAACAUAUCAUUUGCAAUGUGAUGAAUACAUGAUCAGCUUUGUGGCGUCACACGAAAAUUCGGUUAUAUUUUGCUGAAGAAGCUGAGGUUCUGUUUCAUUAGAACAAAAAUUACAGGUUAUGAUAACAAGUACGAGAAGUCGUCGAAAAACCAGAAAGGAAGAAGAACUCCUGAUCUUAUCCUGAAAGAUUUAGGCGAAUCGCAAAUUAGUAAAGCAUAAGUACUACUCCUGCACUUUUAAUUUGUUCUUAGAGUACUACUGCCUCCAAUAAGGUUUGUAAAAUUGGUAAAUUUUAUGCCUUGUCAAAUUAUUCAUGUACUACUACCACUACUUAAUGCAAUCCCUACUUAGGACCAGCAGCUGUGUCCUUGUUGAUCAUCAAACCCGGCCGCGCCCCCCCGCCCUCCCCCCCCUCUGCACCACUAUAACAGAAUUAGAUUAUAGAAAUACAUAUUUGAAACACUUUUGUGUAAGUGUCCCAUUUAUACUAAAACUUUUUUAUAAAAAUUUACUAAGGCCUAAAUAUAAAACUCAAUCCAAUCAAAAAUAAAAAGUUUCUCUACCCAACCAACCCCACCGAGCCUACUUGGCCCGAUUAUAAAUAGAAAAGGAAAAAAAAAAAAUUGGUCACCAUCUCCCCUUCUCCUUCUCUACUGCCGUAGUCGACGAUGUAGGGUUCCGGCGGCUGGAAUUCGACCGCAAGGAUCUCGUAGAGACCGUAGAGGGCUACGAUUGCCACGUGUCUCUCCGCCAUAGGUCACUAGAGGAGUGAGUGCCAAACAUUAAGGCGGUCCUACAUAUAGCGAUCCCAUAUAUAGCAAUACUUUUGAAAAGUGUCGGUAAUUUAGCUAACAGUAUAUUUUUUGACCUGUAUCGAUAUUUAAAAGUGUCGCCAUACACUUUUUUUUGUAGUGCCCCAAUCCUUUUUCCGAGAGGACUACAGAAAAUAUAUUAUAAUAUGCAGAACGUGAUAUACGUACAGAAAACAUUCAGCAAUUUCCUUUCAAUCCUACUCUUUUCUUAGAAAGAAAGAAAGAAAAAAUACUAUUCUUUGAAUGUCAUGGAGAUCAAGAAUUACAUUCACAAGCUGCUUAUGAUUUUAGAACAGUUAUGAAACUUCCAAUGGUGGAUAAAACAAAUUUAAUUAACUAUGUAAGUUUUAAAUUUUAUUGUGUCAAAUUUAUUAAAGUAAGCAAUUAGCUUAAAUUUUGCAUCCGAAGAGUCAUGAAAUCGCUUCAGUCAAACAUAUUAAAAGAUUAGUUCUUACAAUCAAAAUUUUGAAAAAGGUUGAGCAGUCGAGUCAAAACGGAUUAGUAGUUCAGAUAAGUUUUAGUCAUUUUUAUCUAAGUUUUAUUGUAUUAAAUAUUCAGAAUAAAAUAAAAUACCUUCUGUUGGUGUAAAUACUCAUAAAUAGAAGUCAAACUAUAAAAUAAUAUAAAAAGUGUCGACGAGUCGAUUAAGCCGAGACACGAAAAUUUCGCUCUUUUUAAAAAGAUUCAAACUCUCUGCGGUUGGUAAAGUCUUCAACUUUUGCCGUGUGGCUUUACCAACUUUAUACAAGUGGAUGAGUCCAAAGCUCUACCAAAAAAAUACCUUUCUUUGGCCUCUCUUUCUCUCACACAAGUAGAAGAGAAAUAGAUUUUUUAUUGUUGCGUUUUUAUUGUAUUUUCAAAUGAAUGGAAAAACCAUUCUAUAUAUAGACCUACAAGUUUAUGGGUUACAAGAGUAUUAAACCCAUAGGUUAUAUAACAUUUAGUAUAACAAAAAUUGGCACAUGUUGUGAGUUAUAGGAUUAAAGAGAAUGGUAUGAGUACUAAAUGAACACGUUAGAUCUCAUAAUUGUAAAUACGAAUGAAUGCAAAGUUAAGCGAAUGCAUAAGUUAUCAAUCUUGCAACCAUAAAUGUUAGAGUAUAGAUUAUCAAAAUUAAAAAUUCAUAUUUAAUAAUAAAAAUGUUACAACACCUUCAUUAAACCGGAAUUGGUUUGCAAAUGCGGUGGUGCUACGUCCUUCCGCCGAGCACGCCGAGACUUGUCGUCGUAGAUUUGGCAUUUCAUUCUCCUGCUGCUGCUACGUCGCGGUAUCUGCACAACAAAGUCAAAUAGUUUAUCCACGAAAAUCAAAUCGAAAUGCAAAAUUCGAUCGACCGUAGUAGGAUCUAUCGACGGAUCAGUAACUAACUUUCGAUCCAGAAGUGUGAGGCGGGUCUGUCGUGGAAUGCCGACGAGAGCUCAUCAUUCUCUCCUUCUUCAGUAUUUUCUCACGCAGAGCCGCGAGAGUCGUCGGCGACGGGAUCUUAUUCAUGCCCCAGAGAGCAUUCGCGAGCUUUCGAGCCGAAACUGAAGUUUGCGUCCCGCGAAUGCAGCUGUGAGAUGUCUGGCACUCAGAAGAUUCAUUAGCAGGUGAGAUCAGGGAUGGCAGGUGAUGAUCUGCUUCUUCACUCAUUGUGAAUGAGCAAUUCUCUUUCAGUAAUGAUUUGUAUAAGAAAAUAAUAAUAAAAAAGGAAGAGACUUAAGAUAAACAAAUGGACUAAGAAACUUUUUAGGCAGUAGAUGGAAUGGUAAGUAGAGAGUAUUAUAAUCUGAAGCACAUGUGGUGGAUGAACAAUGAACAUGCACUUUUUUUUUUUAAUGUUUCCUAGUAAUAUAAUGAGAUUAAUGAAAACAAAAAACUUUACCAAAUUAUUGCUGAAAAAAAAAAUGCAGAUCAAAUGUUCAAGAACCCUAAUAUUAGAUUCUGAAAAACCACAAGCACAAAUUUUGGAAUAAUAAAAAACAGAAAAAGAAAACAACUAAUAAGUUUAAAAGGAAACAUGUGCUUUAAAGAUGCCAACAUUGAACAUUCCUAAUUCUCUCUCUCUCUCUCUCUCAAAAGUUUUCCUUUUUGUUGCCUCUCAUUGGAAACCAAGAGGCUCCUAAAUACUCAGGAGCAUUUGUAUGCAUAUCCCUACAAAUUCUUAAAAUUACAUAUUCUAAUAAAGACACGCUUCUCCAUUUUUUGAUAGAACUGUAGAAAAUAUAUCGUAAUGGAUUCAUUACGAUGUACGUAGCAUAGUAUUAGGUAUGAAAAAAAGAGAGUAAUUUUUUUUUUUUUCAUCGAGCUUUCUCAUCACACAUAGCGUAAUUAUCUUUCUGCAAUCCAAUAAAAUUUGUUUAAGAAACUCUAGCCAAAGAAGGAUAAUAUAUACAAUGCCAAUGUAGAGGUAUGGUAAAGUGAUUGGUUCAUAACUUUUUUUUUGAUGAGAUAGUGUAUAUUAUUUAGAUUCUACUGUCAUUGAAGUGAGUGUAGCAUUAUUAGCAAAAUAUUAUUGAAGGUUAACUUGAAGCUCAGAUAGAUAAUGUGUAAGCUAAAUUAUAAAUAAAGUUGAAAGAAAAUAUUCAAAUGUGUUUGGGUAAAAAAACAAUCAUUUGAAAAGAGAAUGCUAAAGUUCGGAUGGUUUCUAGUUGAUGUUGUAAACUGAAGUAGACAACAAAAAAAAUCAUAAAUUAAAUGUUAAAAUACAAAAAACCCUCAUUAAAUAUCAUUUUGCCACCACAAAAUUUCAAAAAUAUUUUUAGGGGUUACGUCGUUAAUGUAAAGGGUGAAAGGAUUAAAUUGCUCUUACUUGCUCUAUUAAAAAAAUUUGUAAUAUAUUUAUGUCAUUUUCAAGUGUAUUGUUGCUAUAAAUUUUAAGAAAUAGAUGAAAAAGUAAUAAAACCCUAACAAAGGAGGGCUAAAUGCGUGUAGGGAUGCAAACGAGCUGAACACGAGCGAGUGCAGCCUUGCUCGUAUUAGAUUCGAGCCGAAUUCGGGCCGGCUCGAAUUAAUUUCGAGCCAGAAUAAGACUGGUUCGAGUUCGGCUCAAAAUCGAAAUUGAGCCGAAUUCGAGCGGCUCAAAAUAAUUUAUUUUAUUUUUUUGUUUUUCGAGCUAAUUUCAAGGCAUGUUCAAAUUUGGCUUGGAAUUGUUUGAUUCCGAGCCGGCUCAUUUAUAGCUUGAAAUUCUAUUUUUUUUAUUUAUUUUUUUUUCAAUUCUAAAAUGUUUAUGAAUAUUUGCUAAUAUUACACUAUAUAAAUUUAACUACAAUUACCAGUAUAAUUACAAUCGAAAUAAAAUAUCAAUCUCUAAAAUUACAAUUAAUCAACAUACAAAUAAAAUUACAAUCAACAUAUCUAUAAUCAACAUACGUGCUCAAAUUAACAUUCCCAAUAUAUUUUUUCUAUAAUCAUUUAUCUAGAAUGAAAAUUUAUUUUUUAUUUUUAAUAUAUAUAUAUAUAUAUAUAUAUAUAUAUAUAUAUAUAGAGUUGAGCUAUGAUACUUUUACAAGUAUCACCAUCAUAGUGCUAUUAGGUUUUAAGCCUUUGAAUCUACUUUUUGAUUAUUAAUAGCCCUUGGAUUAAACACUAUUCCACCUACCACCACCUACCACCAUCAUCUCAACCUCACAUCUCUCCAUCCAAGGGCUAAAAACACACAAGUAUCACCCCCAUGAUACUUUUACAAUUAUUCUAGCCCUACUCUCUCUCUCUCUCUCUCUCUCUCUCUCUAUCAGUAUAUUAUAUAUAUAUAUAUAUAUAGAACUAGGCUGGAAUACUAUUAAUAGCACCAAGAGAUUUGUGCUAUUAGUUUUUUAGCAAUUGGAUUAAAAAAUGUGCGGUUAGGAUGAUAUGAGACCCCUAGGGUUGGGUGGGUAGUUGAUUAAAUAGUAUAAUCUAACGGGUAAAAAUAAUUAAAGGAUUAAAUCUAACGGUGGAAAACUCGAUAGCACAAAAUCCUUAGUGUUAUCGAUAGUAUCCCAGCCGGGCUAUAUAUAUAUAUAUAUAUAUAGAGAGAGAGAGAGAGAGAGAGAGAGAGAGAGAGAGAGUUUUGCUAGAAUACUAUCGGUAGUAAACGGCUCGGUUUACUACUAAUUUGUUUUCGAUGAUAGAGCUUCCAAAUUGAUGAUCGGCACCGUUAAAUAUGAUCUAAACUAUUUAAACUAUCUGAAAAUCAAAUUUCACAUAUUUUCGAUAUUGUUCUCUUGUCCAUUAAGUGAACAGAAAAAUGAAUGGCUUGAAAUGAAUAUCCCUCAAAAAGUGAUGAUACAAUUUUUAUAUUUGAGAUCUAGAGUCUAGAUCUUAUUUUAAAUAGUUUAAAGAAUUUUUUAACAAAAAUUUAGUUGAUUUGAACUCUUCUAUACCAUUAAAUGAGCAAACGCACCAUAUCGGCCAUUAAAAUUAUAGAUUUUGUGACCCUUUGAUCGUUCAGUUAAUGAUGCCAAAAAAUUAUGAAAUUUGAUUUCUAGAUAAUUUAAAUGGUCUAGAUCAUGUUCAACGGUGCCGAUCGUCGAUUUGAAAGCUCUAUCAUCAAAAAUAAAUCGGUAGUAAACUGAGCAGUUUACUACCGAUAGUAGCCCAGUCAAACUCUAUAUAUAUAUAUAUAUAUAUAUAUAUAGUUUUAAGAUGCUGUUACAGUAUAUCAACUAAAACAAUACAAGUAAAGAAUAAUUACAAGAAUAAUUACAGCAUAUCUAAAAUUAUCAUUUUCUGACAUAAAAAAUAAAGUUACAAGGUCUAUUUCAAAAUACCCUAUAAUUUAAGGGGAUCUUCAUUCUCCAUACAUUUCCACCAAACUAAUUUAAUUAGCACAUUAAAAGUAUUAAAAAGGGAAAUAAUAACUUACAUUAUACCCCACCAAAUAAUCACAUGGAUGUGUCAUUGACAUUUAUAGGACACUUAACACAGUUACUACAUAAAUAAAAGAGAAAAGUAGAUUUUAUAUAUAUCAGUGGCAUAAUGGCAUAUUAUUUCCUAAUAUAUUUCCUAAUAUUUUGGCCCCCACUCAAAUGAUUUUGGAAUAGCUCACCACAUGCAUACGGAAUAAUUGGGACAUUUUCAAACCUACCCCUUAAAUAUUACAAAAUAUUAUAGGCAUCCCUAAAAAAUUACCAAUAUCAAUUUACUCGCUAUAAAUUGAUGAAUUAUGUGGGACUCAUGCAGUUAUCUAUAGCUUUGUUGUACUGUAUGGGACUAAAGUUAUUUCUCAUCCAAAAUUAGCACUAUAUAUUUACCUUUUCAGCUAUAAAUAUGAUUUAAUUUAAGCAAAAAUAUAUAAUUUUUUUUUGUAAAUAUUUGUUUUUCACUUGCUCUCCCAACUUUAAAAAAUCUAUAUUUUAUCCCUUCAAAUUUAAGUUCACGCAUUUAGGGCUGCAAGUCUAGCUACUCGCAAGUUAGCUCGUGUUCGAUUCGAAAUAAACUUGAAAAUGGUUCGUUCGAAAUUAAUUUCAAAUAUAAAACGAGCUGGAUUUUUUUCUCGAAAAAAAUUUUAAACCAAGCACGAGCAGGCCUCUGCUCAUUCCUGUUCGACUCGAAAUAGUUCGAAUAUAUAUAUAUAUAGAACUAGGCUGGAAUACUAUUAAUAGCACCAAUGACUUGGUGCUAUUAAGUUUUCUGUCCUUGGAUUAAAAGAUGUGCGGUUAGGAUGAUAUGGGCCUCUUAGGGUUGAGUGGGUGGUUGGUUGAAUAGUAUAAUCGAAUGGAUGAAAAUGAUAAAAGAGGUAAAUCUAACAAGUUUUCUGCCGUUAGGAUGAUAUGGACUAUAUAUAUAUAUAUAUAUAUAUAUAUAUAGAGAGAGAGAGAGAGAGAGAGAGAGAGAGAGAGAGAGAACUAGGCUGGAAUACUAUCAAUAGCACUAAGCUAUUGGUGCUAUUAGUUUUUUAGCCCUUGGAUUGAGAAAUGUGCGGUUAGGAUGAUGUGGGCCUUUUAGGGUUGAGUGAGUGGUUGGUUGAAUAGUAUAAUCUAACGGGUAUUUAAGUUGCUAAUAUACCAAUCGGGUCUAUUCGAAAGGGUCUGGUUAGUGACAAUCCAUAUGCUAUCCGCGCAAAACUGAAUAUGUGUCGGGUACGAGUCGGGUCUAGAUUGGAUACGAGUACCUGUAUAUACAUAUUUUUUAUAGACUAUUAAACACUCUAUGGACAAAUCAUAAAUCUCUCAAUUUAGAAAACUUUCAUUCUAAUGAGCUGCACUCUAUCAGAGGGAUCAGAGAGGCAAAGAGAGUAGUUAAGAUUUGAUUUUUUUUUCUCUUUUUUUUUUUUUUUAACUCUUACUUCUUAACUUCAGCAAUAAACAGGGACCCUGCUUAGAGAAGAAGAUUCAAGUAGUAAAUAGAGCGGCUAGGAUUAAAAAAAAGGAGUAACAUAGCGACUAGGUUUGAUGACAAUACAUAGAGACCCAUCAUCUAUAAGUCAUAUUGAAAUUGAUUCCUCAACUUAAAAUCUUUUUUAUUUGGGUAUUUCAUCCCAUCCGGAUCAAGAUCCAAGUCUGAAUCCGUAUUUGAAAUUAUUCUAGACCCUAUCCAUUAAAAUGUCGGGUUCGGGUCGGAUCCAAGUCCAGUAUAGAUACAAAGUAUCCGAAUCUACAUCCAAAACUUUAAUGUCUUUUUUCUUUUUUAUCCGAAUACUAUCUAUUUUUUAUUUGAUCUGGAUAGGGUCCGGAUUAAAUAUAGUAUAUCGGCAUUUUGGACGGUUUAGUUUGUUGAGAUAACUUCACUACAUUUUUACCAAACUCACUAAUUUGGACACAUCACCCCUUCAUUAUUGGUGUUAUUAGGGUCUCCUUGAAGGCUUGAACAUGUUCUAUCAAAAAAAAAAAAUGCAAAAGGGAUGUAAUAAAAAAUGAAAUCACAGAGUACUAACUUGAUACACUUUAAACUAUAAGGUACUAAAGUGAAAAAGUGCGAAACCACAAGGUACUAACUUGAUACACUUUAAACCACAUGGUACUAAAGUGAAAAAAUGCGAAACCACAGGAUUUUUUUUGAAGUUUUCCCUAAAUUUAAUUCUACAAACGGUUAUGAUCAAUUUAUUAAAAUAUUUCAAAUAAAAAAGAAUGAUUAUGAUCAAUCUAAGAAAUAACAUUUUUUUUCAUCUAUUUUAUAUUAAAAUUUAAAUUUGAGUUUAAAUCGUAAAUUAAAUUUAAUUUUUGAUAUCAAAUUUGACUUACAGUUAAAAAAUUUUAAUCAUAUAAUGGAUCAAAAUUAAAUUUUAAAUUUUGAAAUAAAUAUCAAUUAAAUUUUAAAUUCAUCAAAAAUUAAAAAAUAUUUAAAAAUAUUUAAUGUAUAAAAAAAGAAUAAUAUAAAAUAUUGCAAAUAUUUUCUAAUAAAAUAUAACAUAUAACUUUAUAAAUUAUAAUUUUUAUUAUAAAUUUUUAAAUAAAUAUACUGUACAAAUUUAUAUUGAUUUAAANUAUAACAUAUAACUUUAUAAAUUAUAAUUUUUAUUAUAAAUUUUUAAAUAAAUAUACUGUACAAAUUUAUAUUGAUUUAAACUAAAUUAAAAUAAUUGUUACAUGCAUUUGUAUAUACACUCAAUUAGUGUGUGUGUAGACCUAGUCUAAAAUACUAUCAAUAGUACCAAGCUAUCGGAGCCAUUAGGUUUUCGGCUCUUGAAUGAAAAAAUCUACAGUUAGGCUGAUGUGGGCUCCCUAGGGUCGAGUGAGUUAUUAGUUUAAUAAUAUAAUCUAACGGAUGAAAGUAGUUAAAAAGUUAAAUCUAACAGCAGAAAACUUGAUAGCACCAAAUACUUGGUGCUAUGGAUAGUAUUCCAGCCGGACUAUAUAUAUAUAUAUAUAUAUAUAUAUAUAUAACGUGAUUGAAUUGUUUAAUCCGAUCUGCUUAUUUUGGUAUUUUGUGUUUAUAAUUGAUCAGAAUAUAUAGAAUUAGGCUACUAUACUAUCUAUAGUACCGGAGCUCCGGUACUAUAGUCUUGUUUUCGAUCUUAGCGUGUUCAAAUUAACGAUCCACACCGUUAAAUAUGAUCUAGGGUAUAUGAAGUUCUUAGGAAUAAAAUUUUAGUUUUUUUCGACAUCGUUUACUUAGUAAAUAAAUUAUGUCAAAAUGGACGGUGGAAAUUGAAUAUUCUUUAAAAUUUGAGCAUAGAACUUUUAAAUUCAAGAUCAAGAAUGUUAACCUUAAUCUAGAUAGUUUAAAAUAUCUUAGCGCUAACUGAUAGUCGUCGGAUACGCGACACCGAAGUUCACCCGACUGUGCUCGACUGCAUUAGCAAAUAGGUAUAGAAAAGAGAUCAAUCCAAAUUGUUAGAUCUCUACUUUACAAAAACUUUUCUUUGGAACCCUAGAUAAUUAAAUCUUGCGAGAACGGCGAUGAAAUCCCCGAUUCAAAGCAUAAACACUUAUCUAAGUGUCCAAGGGUCCCUACUAAAAACCAAUUCUAGAGUAAAAAGCUAACGCUAGAAUUUCUACCAAUCAAAGGCUCAACAGAGCUUACCUCAGGCCAGUUCUAGGGAAGAAGAUGUCGAAGACGAAAAUCCCUUCCAUUACUUUCGACUCACACCAAUCUCCCCUCUAGCUCCGAACCUCUUAAGAAAGAGCUUCUAAUUAGAUCUUAACUCCUUUGACACUUUUACCCGACAUUAUAACUAUUAAACAAUAACUCAUCAACCCUAGUGGGCCCACAUCAACAUAUACGCACAUAUUUUUUCAUCAAAGCCGAAAACUCUAAUAGCACUAAUAAUUGAUGCUAUUGAUUAGUAUCUAGCCUAGUUCUAUAAAUAGAAGAGAGUUGGAUCUAGAAUACUAUAAAGCAAACGGGACUCCCAUGCCAGCCAUAAAUUAUUUUGCGAAUGAAGAGCCUCCAAAUCGACGAUCGGUCUUGUGACCAUAUGCUUAACGCACUUGAAGUGUUUAAAAAAUCUCAAAUUUCAAAUCUUUCGACAUCAUUUGCUAAUGAUCAAAGGUUCAAUUUGUAAUUUGAAUGGUCGAUAUGAUGGCGUUUUCCUCAUUAACGACGUGAAAGAUAUCGCAAAUCAAAUUGAAUUUUUGUAGAAAAUUCUUAUAAACUAUUAAAAAAGAAUUAUACUUUUGAUCUUGAUUACCAAGACCUUCUUCAUUUUUUUAAAAUAUUCAUUUUCAGGCCAGUUCAUUUUUGUGUCCACUCGAUGAAUAGAAGAACAAUAUCGAAAAAUUGUAUGAAAUUUUGAUUUUCUAAACCUUAAGUGGUAAUACAUGCAUACUUCAGCGGUGCUUGAUCAUCGAUUUGGAGGCUUCAUCACGAAAACAAAUGGGUGGCAAUGGGCUCGUUUGGCUAUCGACUAGCAUCUACUCAAUCUCAAUCUCUGCUCUCUCUCUCUUAUAUAUAUAUAUAAAUAAUAUAUAUAUGAUAUAUAUAUAUUAUAUAUAUAUCUAGUAAACUAUAUGCUAGUCGGAAGCAUAAGAGGAUGGUGCUGUCCGAUUUUUUGGCUCUUAGAUCAAUCCUCUUAAUGCAAUUUCAAAAUAUUGUGGAUAUAAUUUCAAAACUAUUAAAUCUGUGGGGAACACUCAACGAUGGGGGACCACAAUCAUCAAUCCCCCGUAUAAUUUUUAUCCAAUGGUACAAAAAGUUGAAGCUCAGAAUCCCUUGCUUAUAAUGCGUAUAAAGUUCUUACACUAAGUAUAUUAAUAUAUAUAAGUAGAGAGAGGAGAGAGAGGAGAGAGAGAGAGAGAAGAGAGAGAGCUAUCUCUCAACUAUCCUAGUAACCGAGCUCCGUACUAUAGAUCCCCGUUUUCAUCUUAGGGUUCAAAUCAACGAUCCACAAUAUAUAAAACUGAUCUUAAAGGUAUUUAAAAUUUUUACCCAGAAUAAAAUUUUAUAUUUUUUUGACAAUAGUUUACUUUAUAUCAACCAUUUCAAAAUUGUCAAAUUUCAAUGGCUACUAUGGCGAGUUUAAGAGUUUAGGCGUGUAGAAGAAUCUAAAUUCUUCAAGAUUUUGAUAAGAAAAUACUUAAUUUUAAGUUUGAAUUUGAAUAAAUUAAAAUUUAGUUUCAUAUUUUGAAUUAUCUACUCAACUUCAAAGUUUAUUUUUUUAAAAAAAAAAUAGAUUUAAAAUUUUGACAUUAUUUCAAAAUUUUGAUGUAAAUUUUUAAUAUUUAAUUUUUAAUUUGAAUUUAAAUUAAUAUAUUAUAAAGAUAAUGUUAGUAUAUUAAUUUGAUUACGUUUUUUAUAUCCACCUGAACCAAAUACCGACAAUGGGAAUGAUUUAUUCCGAUUCCGAUUCAAGUGAUGAAUCAAACAGAAUUAGGUCAUGAGUCAUUUCGAUUCUAAUUCCAGCUUAUUUUGAUUCCGAUUCCGAUUCCGACUUCGACUUCAAACCAAACACGCCCAUAG
rnacentral:lncRNA from 1 species